GACGAACGCUGGCGGCGUGCUUAACACAUGCAAGUCGAACGAUGAACUACCAGCUUGCUGGUGGGGAUUAGUGGCGAACGGGUGAGUAACACGUGAGUAACCUGCCCUGGACUCUGGGAUAACCCCGAGAAAUCGGAGCUAAUACCGGAUAGGACCUUUCCCUGCAUGGGGUUUGGUGGAAAGUUUUUCGGUCUGGGAUGGACUCGCGGCCUAUCAGCUUGUUGGUGAGGUAAUGGCUCACCAAGGCGUCGACGGGUAGCCGGCCUGAGAGGGUGACCGGCCACACUGGGACUGAGACACAGCCCAGACUCCUACGGGAGGCAGCAGUGGGGAAUAUUGCACAAUGGGCGCAAGCCUGAUGCAGCAACGCCGCGUGCGGGAUGACGGCCUUCGGGUUGUAAACCGCUUUUAGUAGGGAAGAAGGGCUUCGGCUUGACGGUACCUGCAGAAAAAGGACCGGCUAACUACGUGCCAGCCGCCGCCGUAACAC
rnacentral:rRNA from 1 species